GACGAACGCUGGCGGCGUGCCUAAUACAUGCAAGUUGAGCGAUGAAGAUUGGUGCUUGCACCAAUUUGAAGAGCAGCGAACGGGUGAGUAACGCGUGGGGAAUCUGCCUUUGAGCGGGGGACAACAUUUGGAAACGAAUGCUAAUACCGCAUAAUAACUUUAAACAUAAGUUUUAAGUUUGAAAGAUGCAAUUGCAUCACUCAAAGAUGAUCCCGCGUUGUAUUAGCUAGUUGGUGAGGUAAAGGCUCACCAAGGCGAUGAUACAUAGCCGACCUGAGAGGGUGAUCGGCCACAUUGGGACUGAGACACGGCCCAAACUCCUACGGGAGGCAGCAGUAGGGAAUCUUCGGCAAUGGACGAAAGUCUGACCGAGCAACGCCGCGUGAGUGAAGAAGGUUUUCGGAUCGUGAAACUCUGUUGGUAGAGAAGAACGUUGGUGAGAGUGGAAAGCUCAUCAAGUGACGGUAACUACCCAGAAAGGGACGGCUAACUACGUG
rnacentral:rRNA from 1 species